rnacentral:snRNA from 1 species
AUUGUGCUUCAACAUAGCA